GGUGGACACUGCAAAACAAAAUGGCUGACUAACACUUUGAAUUUUUUUUUCUUGCAGGCUCGUGAAAUGGUUUGGAACAAUUUUUGCAAGUCAGUCUUGACAAAUUCUUGAACAAAUGCGAUGCCUUUUUUUUCUUUGCAGGUGGGGAAAAGAAGGCAUUAAAUUGCGAGGGCGGCUUCCAGUCCAAUUGACGUGGUGGACAAUCCUGCCCCCCCCC